rnacentral:rRNA from 1 species
CCUACGGGUGGCUGCAGUGGGGAAUAUUGGACAAUGGGCGAAAGCCUGAUCCAGCCAUGCCGCGUGUGUGAAGAAGGCCUUCGGGUUGUAAAGCACUUUCAGUGGGGAAGAAAGCCUUGGGGCUAAUACCCUCGAGGAAGGACAUCACCCACAGAAGAAGCACCGGCUAACUCCGUGCCAGCAGCCGCGGUAAUACGGAGGGUGCGAGCGUUAAUCGGAAUUACUGGGCGUAAAGCGCGCGUAGGCGGUCUGAUAAGCCGGUUGUGAAAGCCCCGGGCUCAACCUGGGAACGGCAUCCGGAACUGUCAGGCUAGAGUGCAGGAGAGGAAGGUAGAAUUCCCGGUGUAGCGGUGAAAUGCGUAGAGAUCGGGAGGAAUACCAGUGGCGAAGGCGGUCUUCUGGACUGACACUGACGCUGAGGUGCGAAAGCGUGGGUAGCAAACAGGAUUAGAUACCCGGGUAGUC